rnacentral:rRNA from 1 species
AGUGAACGCUGGCGGUAGGCCUAACACAUGCAAGUCGAACGGCAGCACAGUAAGAGCUUGCUCUUACGGGUGGCGGGUGGCGGACGGGUGAGGAGUACAUCGGAAUCUACUUUUUCGUGGGGGAUAACGUAGGGAAACUUACGCUAAUACCGCAUACGACCUACGGGUGAGAGCAGGGGAUCUUCGGACCUUGCGCGUUUGAAUGAGCCGAUGUCGGAUUAGCUAGUUGGCGGGGUAAAGGCCCACCAAGGCGACGAUCCGUAGCUGGUCUGAGAGGAUGAUCAGCCACACUGGAACUGAGACACGGUCCAGACUCCUACGGGAGGCAGCAGUAGGGAAUAUUGGGCAAUGGGCGCAAGCCUGAUCCAGCCAUACCGCGUGGGUGAAGAAGGCCUUCGGGUUGUAAAGCCCUUUUGUUGGGAAAGAAAAGCAGCAGGUUAAUACCCCGCUGUUCUGACGGUACCCAAAGAAUAAGCACCGGCUAACUUCGUG